AAAUAUAUAAAAAAGGAGAUGUUGGGAAAGAAAGAAAACUCAUCAUCUGCACAAGAUCAUCAUCCCAUGCUGCGAAGAACAGUAGCGAUCCGCAGCCGCCGCAUCCUUCCUGCCCACCAGCCUCAGGAUGCCCUCGAACGCCUUCACGUCGCAGGGGAUCCUGAGAGCCCCCUCGUGCUGGAACCCGAACUCCUCCUCCGCCUCCUUCAGGAGCUCCUCGAACGCCCAGUGGCCCAGGUACUCCGUGGGGAUCACGAACCUCUCCAUCUCCUUGCCGACGCACACCGUGAAGAACCCCUUCGGGACACCGUGGCUGCCGCCGCCGCCGCCGCUCUUGCCGGCUUUCGGUGAGAGCGCAAUCUGCUUCCACUUCUUGAGAAGCUGUCGCAGCCUCACGAUGUCUCUGAUCCUGUUGCUGCUUGGCCUGCCUUGCUCCCCCAUUGCCAGUCGACGCAGCUGCCUUUCUCUGCCUCUGCUUUCUGCUCCUCUCUGCUCUGCCAAUAUAUAGGAGGCUGGAGUGCUGGAGUGCUGGACCAGUGUCUAAGCAUGGAUUAGCGUGUUCAUCGGGUUAGUUUGGACGUACUAAUCAGCGGCUUGAUACGACGAUUUUGUUUAAGUCUGUGGGCAGGUUUUCUUUAUGUUGGUGUUCUUGACAUGUAAUAAACUAAGGCAAAAGCGUAUGAGCACAUGUGACAGCAGCCAGUAG
rnacentral:misc_RNA from 1 species